rnacentral:lncRNA from 1 species
GCCACCUUGAAUCUCUAUCUCCCAUUUUUGUUUUUCAUUUUUAUUUUUGAUUUAAUAUUUUUUAAAAUUUUUUGUUACCAAAUGUGCAUGGAAGCUUAGAGACUCCUAACCUAUUGAAUAUGAAACCUCAUCCUCCUUCAUUGACUUCCUAACUAAAAGAGGGGAGAGAAAAGUAUUCACUAAUGUUUGUACUCCAAAUUUAUUUUUCUCCCAUUGGUACUCUACAAUAACCUUAGUUUUCAUCUAACACUCUAUCACGUGC